rnacentral:lncRNA from 1 species
AAAUUAAACUGAUCAGAGCACAACUUUAAAGCAGCACCUUUGUGAUAUUUUUAACUUUAGUACUCCUCUCCUCCUUCAUUUCUCCUUCAACUGAAUCCACACCAACCUCUUCAUAUCCUUCUCAAGGGCAGCCAUGUCCUCAGAGGCUUCAGAAAACUCUUCUUCAUCCAUGCCCUAACCCACAUACCAGUGAACAAAGGCAUGCUUAGCAUACAUCAGGACAUCAGGUCCAGGUGAGCCCAGGCCUCAGCAAUGGCUGUGGUGUUGCUCAGCAUGGCUGUACUUUGGCCAGGUCUCCACCAGAUACCACAAUGGGAGGCUGAUAAUUAAUGCCAACUUUGAAGCCAGUGGGGCCCCAGUCCAUAAACUGAAUGGUACCCUUGGUCUUGAUGGUGGAAAUGGCAGCACUGACAUAUUUGGGAACCAUGUUGCCACAGUACAACAUGCAGCAAGCCAUGUAUUUUUUUUUUAUUUCUUUUUAAUGUUUAUUUUAUUUUUUUAUUUUUUUAUGUUUAUUUAUUUCUGAGACAGAGACAGAGCAUGAGCAGGGGAGGGACAGAGAGAGACGGAGACACAGAAUCCAAAGCGGGCUCCAGGCUCUGAGCUGUCAGCACAGAGCCAGACGCGGGGCUCGAACUCACAAACCGUGAGAUCAUGACCUGAGCUGAAGUCGGUCGCUCAACCAACUGAGCCACCCAGGCGCCCCUUUAAUGUUUAUUUUUGAGAGAGAGAGAGAGAGAGGACGAGUGGGGGAGGGCAGAGAGGGAGACAAAGAAUCUAAAGUAGCCUCCAGGCUCUGAGCUGUCUGCACAGUGACUGGCGCGGGGCUCAAACCCCCAAACCGUGAGAUCAUGGCCUGAGCUGAAGUUGGACACUUAAACUGAGCCACACAGGUGCACAGCAAGCCAUGUAUUUACCAUGGUGAGAAUCAUAUUUCACCAUCUGGUUGGCUGGCUCAAAGCAUGCAUUAAUGAUCUCUGCUACAGAAAGCUGCUCAUGGUAGCCUUUCUCAGCAGAGAUAACAGGAGCAUAUGUGGCCAGAGAGAAGUGGAUGUGGGGAUAAGGCACCAGGAUAGUCUGGAAUUCUGUCAGAUCAACAUUCAGGGCUCCAUCGAAUCUGAGGGAAGCAGUGAUGGAGAACACAAUUUGACCUAUCAACCUAUUUAGUUUAGUGUUGGCUGGGCAUUCAAUAUUGAGGUUUCCACGACAGAUAGCACAGAUGGCCUCAUUGUCUACCAUG